GACGAACGCUGGCGGCGUGCUUAACACAUGCAAGUCGAACGAAGAGCGAUGGAAGCUUGCUUCUAUCAAUCUUAGUGGCGAACGGGUGAGUAACGCGUAAUCAACCUGCCCUUCAGAGGGGGACAACAGUUGGAAACGACUGCUAAUACCGCAUACGAUCUAAUCUCGGCAUCGAGGAUAGAUGAAAGGUGGCCUCUACAUGUAAGCUAUCACUGAAGGAGGGGAUUGCGUCUGAUUAGCUAGUUGGAGGGGUAACGGCCCACCAAGGCGAUGAUCAGUAGCCGGUCUGAGAGGAUGAACGGCCACAUUGGGACUGAGACACGGCCCAGACUCCUACGGGAGGCAGCAGUGGGGAAUCUUCCGCAAUGGACGAAAGUCUGACGGAGCAACGCCGCGUGAGUGAUGACGGCCUUCGGGUUGUAAAGCUCUGUUAAUCGGGACGAAAGGCCUUCUUGCGAAUAGUGAGAAGGAUUGACGGUACCGGAAUAGAAAGCCACAGCUAACUACGUG
rnacentral:rRNA from 1 species